rnacentral:rRNA from 1 species
UGGGGAAUAUUGCACAAUGGGCGCAAGCCUGAUGCAGCCAUGCCGCGUGUAUGAAGAAGGCCUUCGGGUUGUAAAGUACUUUCAGCGGGGAGGAAGGGAGUAAAGUUAAUACCUUUGCUCAUUGACGUUACCCGCAGAAGAAGCACCGGCUAACUCCGUGCCAGCAGCCGCGGUAAUACGGAGGGUGCAAGCGUUAAUCGGAAUUACUGGGCGUAAAGCGCACGCAGGCGGUUUGUUAAGUCAGAUGUGAAAUCCCCGGGCUCAACCUGGGAACUGCAUCUGAGACUGGCAAGCUUGAGUCUCGUAGAGGGGGGUAGAAUUCCAGGUGUAGCGGUGACGUGCGUAGAGAUCUGGAGGAAUACCGGUGGCGAAGGCGGCCCCCUGGACGAAGACUGACGCUCAGGUGCGAAAGCGGGGGGAGCAAACAGG